rnacentral:rRNA from 1 species
AUUGAACGCUGGCGGCGUGCCUAAUACAUGCAAGUCGAGCGAAUCUCAGGGAGCUUGCUCCCUGAGAUUAGCGGCGGACGGGUGAGUAACACGUGGGUAACCUGCCUGUAAGACUGGGAUAACUUCGGGAAACCGGAGCUAAUACCGGAUACUUUCUUUUCUCGCAUGAGGGAAGAUGGAAAGAUGGUUCUGCUAUCACUUACAGAUGGACCCGCGGCGCAUUAGCUAGUUGGUGAGGUAACGGCUCACCAAGGCAACGAUGCGUAGCCGACCUGAGAGGGUGAUCGGCCACACUGGGACUGAGACACGGCCCAGACUCCUACGGGAGGCAGCAGUAGGGAAUCUUCCGCAAUGGACGAAAGUCUGACGGAGCAACGCCGCGUGAGCGAAGAAGGCCUUCGGGUCGUAAAGCUCUGUUGUUAGGGAAGAACAAGUACGAGAGUAACUGCUCGUACCUUGACGGUACCUAACCAGAAAGCCACGGCUAACUACGUGCCAGCAGCCGCAGUAAUAC